rnacentral:lncRNA from 1 species
GCUCAUUCUUCAUCUUAUAGAAAUGAAUAUAUGGCUACAAUUCCUGAUUUUUUUUCUAGUAGUAUGGUCAUGAAAUAAUUGCUUCUCUAAUAUUUUUAAUUCAGAAGAUUCCAACUUUUCAUUUAAAUAGCACAGGACUCCCCUUCAUGUGAGUACAUGUGUGCCUUUUCAAAUUAUAAAGAGAGAGUAUUUUGCAGGAAGUAGGGAGAGGUCUGAAAGAUAACAUUUUUCUCUCUGAAACAUAAAUGAAGGAAAACUGUGCAUGACAUAGCAAUCCAGAACGAUGUAAGGAAACUGUUAAGAUAACCCAGCAUUCGAUUUGUCAAUCAACCUCAAAGGAAAAAAUAAUUCAAGUAAACAUGUUCCAAAAAUAUACUAAAAAUUAGAAUACUCCAAGAGUUUUAGGAAGGACAAAAAAAAAAAAAAAAAAAAAAAGAAAAAAGAAAGAAAGAAAGAUACAAAAGAAUUCAUCACAAAGUAAAAUAAUAGAAAUAAAAGGCAAUGGAGAGGCAUUUGAGAAGAGUGUAGGUCUUCCUCAGAAUAUAGAAGCUCCACAGAGCACUGAGAAGACAGGCUUACUAGGGAGCAGUGUCAGACAAACGACAGGUUAUGCUCAGAUGUCUAGUCAAGAGGGGAAUUAGUUAAAUCUCUUUUCUGUUUUAAAAAUCAUACAAAUUGGUUUCUUCCACAGUGACCCUGUGCUGUGCUUAUUCAGGCUGGAC